CUCCCACUUCAGAAACUACAGAAGACAUCCAUUUCCCGCCUUUUUUCGGCUAUCAUGAACCGAAUAGCACCUCUUCCACUGCCACUCUGCUCUCCUACGUUUUGAGCCCUUUUUCCAGGAUUACCCAUGCAGGCGCCAUAACCAUGGAUCC